CUACGGGGGGCACCAGUGGGGAAUAUUGCACAAUGGGCGCAAGCCUGAUGCAGCCAUGCCGCGUGUAUGAAGAAGGCCUUCGGGUUGUAAAGUACUUUCAGCGGGGAGGAAGGGAGUAAAGUUAAUACCUUUGCUCAUUGACGGUACCCGCAGAAGAAGCACCGGCUAACUCCGUGCAGCAGCCGCGGUAAUACGGAGGGUGCAAGCGUUAAUCGGAAUUACUGGGCGUAAAGCGCACGCAGGCGGUUUGUUAAGUCAGAUGUGAAAUCCCCGGGCUCAACCUGGGAACUGCAUCUGAUACUGGCAAGCUUGAGUCUCGUAGAGGGGGGUAGAAUUCCAGGUGUAGCGGUGAAAUGCGUAGAGAUCUGGAGGAAUACCGGUGGCGAAGGCGGCCCCCUGGACGAAGACUGACGCUCAGGUGCGAAAGCGUGGGGAGCAAACAGGAUUAGAUACCCGCGUAGUC
rnacentral:rRNA from 1 species